UACGGAGGGUGCAAGCGUUGUCCGGAUUUAUUGGGUUUAAAGGGUGCGUAGGCGGCCUAUUAAGUCAGGGUGAAAGACUGCAGCUCAACUGUAGCAGUGCCUUUGAUACUGAUGGGCUUGAGUACAGAUGAGGCUGGCGGAAUGGGUGGUGUAGCGGUGAAAUGCAUAGAUACCAUCCAGAACACCGAUUGCGAAGGCAGCCGGCUAAACUGUAACUGACGCUGAGGCACGAAAGCGUGGGGAUCGAACAGG
rnacentral:rRNA from 1 species